CGAAUGGGGGACCCCCGCACCAGUCAUGUGGUGUGACCCGCGCCUGAACACAUAGGGCGUGUGGAGGGAACGUGGGGAAGUGAAACAUCUCAGUACCCACAGGAAGAGAAAACAACAGUGAUUCCGUCAGUAGUGGCGAGCGAACGCGGAAGAGGCCAAACCAUGUGCAUGUGAUACCCGGCAGGGGUUGUGCGUGUGGGGUUGUGGGGUUUGUCU
rnacentral:rRNA from 1 species